CUUUGGCUUAGUGGUAUAUUCAACUUGUCUCCAGGACAAUGACAUUACGAUUUUGAACUCCAGUCAGAUCCCAAUAAGAAAAAAGAGCUGUGACGAAUGAUAUAUCUAGUAAAUGGGAUGUCAAUCAAUUUAUUGGCAUUUGGAAACAUGGGGCAAAAAUGCAGAUGAGUAGGGACUGAUUUGAUCCAGCAUCCUACAGACAAAAAGGAGUUAAAGUGAGGCAGGCACCAUGAGAAGAAAAGCCUCUGGUGCUUUGCCUUUAGUCACAAACAAAAGUGGAUGGCUCAGUCAAAUAAGAUCAAAAAUUUGGGACCCAAUAAUAUUAAAUAUACAUCUUCCCAGGACAACAAUGCCUGGUUGGUUAAAGCACAAAAAAUAGAG
rnacentral:misc_RNA from 1 species